rnacentral:lncRNA from 1 species
GGCCCCUCUGUGAUUUAAAAGGUCUCCUAACUUCCUCAAUGUGCAUAUAUCAUCCUCUCCACUCUUAGCAGCUUUUGCUCAUCGGGGGACUCUGUUAUUGGGCAGCUCUUCAGCUGUGAGAUGGAGAACUGCAGCCUCUGCCGCUGUGGCAGUGAGACCGUGCGAGCCUCAUCCACCCUGCUUUUCACACUCUCCUACCCUGAUGAUAAAACUGGGAAGAACUAUGACUUUGCUCAGGUGCUGAAGCGAAGCAUCUGCCUGGACCAGAAUACACAGGCCUGGUGUGACACCUGUGAAAAGUACCAGCCCACGGUGAGUGGACUGUUGGACUGGA